rnacentral:rRNA from 1 species
UACAGAGGUCUCAAGCGUUGUUCGGAUUCAUUGGGCGUAAAGGGUGUGUAGGUGGCCACGCCAAGUCGGAUGUGAAAUCUCCCGGCUCAACUGGGAGGGGUCAUUCGAUACUGGCGGGCUCGAGGCCGGUAGGGGGAAGUGGAAUUCCCGGUGUAGUGGUGGAAUGCGUAGAUAUCGGGAGGAACACCAGUGGCGAAGGCGGCUUCCUGGACCGGUUCUGACACUGAGGAGCGAAAGCGUGGGGAGCGAUCCGG